GACGAACGCUGGCGGCGUGCCUAAUACAUGCAAGUCGAACGCAGUGGGGACGGUUGAGUAACACGUGGGUAACCUCCCAUCAGAGGGGAUAACACUUGGAAACAGGUGCUAAACCGAUACUGAUUGAUGGACCCGCGGUGCAUUAGCUAGUUGGUGAGGUAACGGCUCACCAAGGCCACGAUGCAUAGCGGGGCUGAGUGGGGGAUCGGCCACACGGGGACUGAGCCACGGCCCAGACUCCUACGCGAGGCAGCAGUAGGGAAUCUUCGGCAAUGGACGAAAGUCUGACGGAGCAACGCCGCGUGAGUGAAGAAGGUGUUAGGAUCGUAAAACUCUGUUGUUAGGGAGGCGGUAUCUAACCAGAAAGCCACGGCUAACUACGUGCCAGCAGCCGCGGUAAGUC
rnacentral:rRNA from 1 species